GUUAUAGGCCAAUUUAUAAAGUUACUGAAAACAGAUUAGAAUAAACUACUUCCUUCACUACACACUUUAAAGCUAUCAUAUUACCAAGAAUCUCCAAAUUCUCUAUGCAUUUUACAUGGUCCUCAAUAUUCUGGGAAACCAAUAAUCUGCCUUCCUCUCCCUUCAUAGACUCUGCCUUCCCUCUCCUGGGCCAUACAAGGUGGCUCACCAUUCUCUCUAGUGACCUUGUCAUGCCACGCUACUGGAUUCUUGUCUUCUUUUCUUUUUUCUUUUUAGGGCUAUGCCUGCAGCAUAUGGAAGUUCCCAGGCUAGGGUCGAAUCCGAGCUACAGCUGCUGGCCUACACCACAACCACAGCCAUGCAGGAUCCAAGGCUGCGACCUACACCACAGCUCACAGCAACGCCAGAUCCUUAACCCACUGAAUGAGACCAGGAAUCAAACCCGCAUCCUCACUGAUGCCAGUCAGGUUUGUUGAGCCACAGAGGAACUCCUUGUCUUCUUUUCUUACUCUACUCCCAGGAGACUUGCCUACUGGUAAAUAAUGCUCACCUCAGAGUACCAUGACCUCAGAAACUGCCCUCAAGCCCCUGAUCUACCAUUCUCUUUGCUGCAUUUGUAGAGAAGAUUUCUGGCCCUCUUUCAUAGCUUUUAUUACUAUUAAAUCUGCUUGUACGUCUGGAGCACAAGCUCUGUAAUGGCAGAGAUCUGUUAUUCAUCUCUGCCUUCCCUGCACUAAGAUCAGGGUCUGACAUGAAGUAGGUAGGUCUAUAGAACUAUUUGGUGAACACUGUGUUUUCUGGGCCCAUACACUUCGUAAUGUUACAUUCCUUCUAAACUGAUGCUUCUUAGUCUAAUUGAAAGAGUGAAGCCUGGAGUCUAUUCUCUGGUCUGAUAGAUAUAGGACCUCAGGUAAAUUAUUUAAUCUUUCAGAACCCUUUUUCUGCAAGAGUUUUGGAAAAGUAGUAAAGUUUUGGAGAGUAUAUUGAAAAUAUGUAAAGUACCUAUCAUUGUGACACAUGGUAGGUGUUCAACAAAGUGUGGCUAUUAUUGUAAUUUACUUUGUUCCUGUGGCCCCUGAUGGUCAUACUCCUACUAAAGGCUGUGAGGGUGCAAGUCACACACCUACCUGGAGAGGGCAAUUAUGCACUCAGCAAUCUCCUGGUCAGCACAACAUGUUCUUUAGAAAAUUUCCUGGCCCCAACUUCCCACAAGGAUCAUUUAACUAAUCGAUGUCACCAUUUAAUACUGUCAUAAUCCCUUGUGCCACUAUUUUAAUGAUAGUCGUAAACAAUGGGGGUUGUUUUCUUUCUUCAUCCAGAGAUUUCUUGUUCUGACAUGCUUGCUAUUUUAUACUGAAAAUAUUCUGUACAUGUAUAAAAGCAUCAAACUUUAAAAUAUAGGAAAUGUUGUCUUUUCAGAACCAGCCCUUAAGGGCAGACUAAAUGCUGAAACUUAUAAUUUCUUAUCAUUAAAAAAUGGUAGUACACCAUAUGUACAUAUAUGUAAACACAUAUGUGUUAUGUGUGUGUAUAUAUAUAUAUAUAUCUCCCAGAUAUAAAGAGUGAAUGGGUUUCUUUGUUUUGUACUGACAGUUUAGGUUAAAAAGCUUCAGAUGGGGAGCUUCCGUCAUGCCUCAGUGGAAACGAAUCUGACUGGUAUCCAUGAGGACAUGGAUUCCAUCUCUGGCUUUGCUCAGUGGGUUAAGGAUCCAGUGUUGACGUGAGCUGUGGUGUAGGUUGCAGACUUGGAUCCUGUGUUGCAGUGGCUAUAGGUUGGCAGCUAUAGCUCCGAUUUGACCCCUAACCUGGAAACCUCCACAGGUAUGGACCUAAAAAAAAAAAAAGCAAAAAGUGUUAGCUAUUAAUAAACCUUACACUGCUUUCACAACACAAAGAACUAUCUGAGCCUCCAGUAGUUCAGAUGAUCAAAUAACUGAUCGCAGGCUAAAUCUUGAUGGCAAGGGAAUGACCAUUUAUUGCAGCUACCAGAGCAGAGAAGAUACCUAGCAGGAAACAAAUAAGAAAACUCUAAGAAGAGGGCAUCUUGCUCCAGGACCCAGCUAGUACUGAGCCCCGUACGAAUCUGGACUAUGGCCUGGCUGACCCCAGACCCAGGGAUCCUUACUCUUGCCUCUCACCAUCUAGGGAAGGCAGGAUACAGUGUGUGAGCAGCCCCUUCUAACAUGUGGUCCAGCUGCCAUCCCUCGUAUCACAAAGUACUCCAUCUAAAACCUAUUCCCCUUCUCACUACAAUACUGGUAAUCUGAUUUGUUACUCUACCAGAACUAUACAAAGAAGGAACGGCUUAAAAGAGAUCAUCUUUCAAAAGAAAUCUCCACCAUCUCAUGUGUAUAUGGAGCUAACUGGAGACCAGACAGGUAUCUAUACAUCUGCCAGAUAACACUGACCCUGGUAAAUCAUUUCCUGAAAACAAUUUUUUGGUGCUAAUCUGAAACUGAGUGAUCUUGUCUGGUCACAUGGUUUGUGGUCGUUGGUUUACAACUGGAUGAUAUUUAUAGUAAAGGGGCUGUGGGGUGGGUGGGGGUGGGGGGCGAACACCACUGUCCUCCCAGCUCCUCAGGCUUGACAGACCAUUUGGAAGGGAUGAGCUUGUCAGUUGCUGGCAGCAGUUUUCAGGCUGCAUGGACUGUAGAAGGGUUUGAGUCAGUCUCCUAUUUCCCAUUCUUGAAUUCCCUCUGCCAAACUUCUGACUAACUCUAAUUUCCCCAGAGGUUUUCCUUUUUUUAAGGAGAAGACAUUGUUUUGAUUUAGCUAGGACUAGGCCUGUGUUUUAGGGAGGGAAAGACUUUAAGCAAUUUGCAUUUGAAAUGAGGAAGUUGGGAAAAAAAAAAAAAAAAAAAAGCCAAAGAGAAGCAAAGUCAGCUGUUUCCUACAAAUCCUUGACAACUUCGCAGCUGUUCACUGUUCUUUUGCUUCAAUGGAAACUGGCUUCCGCCCUGACCUUAUCCUCUUAUGAUUGCUUUUCCAGUCUCCCUCACUGGUCCCAACAGCUGUAACCUCCUCACCGUCAUUUUCCCCCCACAAGGUAAGAGUCUGUGUGUGAACUCUGGCACAACUUGGUCAGUUUUUACUCAGUUGUGAGAAAAGCUACACUUUUCUUACAAUAGCCUUAAUAGAUGACACUUAACAAAUACCCCUUGUUUAAUCCUCAUACUUUCUCGAUAAAGAGGACUGUAUUAUUCUCCUCGUUGCACAGAUGAGAAAAGCGAGACUUUGAGUUUUGAGUCUAAGUCGUUUUUCUGACUCCAAAGCCUGUUCUCUAAUCCAAAGGAUUCCAGGAGUUCCCAUUAUGGCUCAGUGGGUUAAGAAUCCAACUACUAUCCAUGAGGAUUUGUGUUUGAUCCCUGGCCUUGUUCACUGGGUUAAGGAUCUUGUGUUGCUGUGGCUGUGGUGUAGGCCUGCAGCUGCAGUUCUGAUUCGACCCCAAGGCUGGGGACUUCCAUGUGCCUCUGGUGUGGCCCUAAAGAGGAAGGAUAAUAAUAAUAAACUAAAGGAUUCCAAAAUAUCUUCCCAUCAGCAGAGGUUUGUUAGAACAGAUAUUUCCAGACAGCCAACUCAGAGAUCCCGAUUGUGUAAAUGUGGAGUGAAGGCCAGCAACCUGUUUUUUACAGAUGUCUCUGGGGAAGGCAGGAUUUAAAUCUUCACAUGCUGGUCCCAGUCGUUAUCUUCCCUGCUUGGCACAGGCCCUGCACAAUUCUCAAUUCUGAUUAAUCACUCCUUCCUCUGCCUUCUCAGAGCACUCUGUUCUCAAGGCUAGUACAGUAGGCUGCACUGUGUUAAAAUUAGCUGUCUUAUUUCUGUCUCCCUGACUACCUGGGUGCUACUUGAUGUCCAGGAUACUGAUUCUUUUUUACUUCCUCUUCUGAACUGCUCUUUCCACUGAUCUUUACAUAGCUGGGUUCUCCUUAUUACUGAGGCUUCAACUUAAAGUACCCUCCUCAGAGAACCUUUUCUAAAGACCUCAAGAAUUAAUUCAGAACCCCACCACUCACUCACUGUAUCACCCCAUUUCAUCAUCUAGCGUAAAGCACAGAGCUUUGUAGAGUAGCUGCUCAAUUAGAACUAGAUUAUCCAAAGGCAGGUUAAGUGCAUUCUUAGGGCACCAAAAAAACAGAGGUAUUUUUUCUUUAUAAAAGAAUUUGACAUAGGAGUUCCUAUUGUGGCUCAGUGGGUUAAGAACCUAGCGUAGUGUCUGUGAGGAUGCAGGAUCAAUCCCUGGCCUUUCUGAGUGGGCUAAGAAUCCAGCAUUGCCACAGGCUGUGGCAUAGGUGGCAGAUGCAGCUUAGAUUCAACCCCUCGCUUGGGAACCUCCAUAUGCCACAGGUGUGGCCCUAAAUAAAUAAAUAUGAAAUUAAAAGAAAGCAUAUAAUUAUAUUUCUAAAUUGUAGAAGUCAUGUGAAAAAAAAUUAGGAUCUUGCUAGUCUCGCUUCCACUUAACAUUAUGGCUUCAUAUUAUUUUUACAUAGAAUUACUUAUUGAAAAUGAGCUCCAGGGAGUUCCCAUUGUGGCUCAGCAAAAAUGAACCCAACUAGUAUCCAUGAAGACACAGGUUUUUAUCCUUGGACUCAGUGAGUUGGGGAUUCGGCAUUGCCAUGAGCUGUGGUGUAGGUCAUAGAUGUGGCUCAGAUCUGGCCUUGCUGUGGCUGUGGUGUAGGCCGGCAGCUGUAGCUCUGAUUUGACACCUAGUCUGAGAAUUUCCACAUGCUGCAGGUGUAGCCCUAAAAUGAAGAAAGAAAGCAAGAAAGCAAAGAAAGCAAGGAAGCAAGGAAGGAAAGAAAGAAAGAAAGAAAGAAAGAAAGAAAGAAAGAAAGGAAGGAAGGAAGGAAGAAAGAAAGAAAGAAAGAAAGGAAGGAAGGAAGGAAGGAAGGAAGGAAGGAAGGAAGAAAGAAAGAAAGAAAUGGGGAUUCCCAUCUUGGCUAAGCAGAAAGGAAAGGAAUUUGACUAGUAUCCAUGAGGACACAGGUUUGAUUCCUGGCCUUGCUCAGUGGGUUAAGGAUCUGGUGCUGCUGUGAGCUGUGGUGUGGAGCACAGAAGCAGCUCAGAUCCCACAUUGCUGUGGCUCUAGUAUAGGCUGGUGGCUACAGCUCUGAUUAGACCCCUAACCUGGGAGUCUCCAUGUGCUGCAGGUGUGGCC
rnacentral:lncRNA from 1 species